rnacentral:rRNA from 1 species
UACGUAGGUGACAAGCGUUGUCCGGAUUUACUGGGCGUAAAGAGCGCGCAGGCGGUCGAUCAAGUCGAGUGUGAAAGCCCCCGGCUCAACUGGGGAGGGUCAUUCGAUACUGAUCGACUCGAAGGCAGGAGAGGGUAGUGGAAUUCCCGGUGUAGUGGUGAAAUGCGCAGAUAUCAGGAGGAACACCGAUGCGAAGGCAGCUCGCUGGGACGUAACUGACGCUGAGACGCGAAAGCGUGGGGAGCAAACAGG